AUGGAUGAAGAAAAGAAAACCUCUAGCGGUUUUGAAAACCCUAAUGCCAUGAUGUCAAAUAAAUAUCUUUUGAGUAAUAAAUUUUUAUAAAAGAUCCUUCACAAACAUCAGCAAUAAUGAAACCCUUGUUGAGUGGCCCAGGUCAUUUUGCUGAGAAGAGAACCAUUGAGGUCAAUUUGAGAGACAUCCCUUCCUGAGCACUGUCAAGAGCAUGGACAUAUUUUACCUACACAUUUUACUACACCUACAGCUCCACAGGGACUUUUAAAUUCUGAUUUCACAUAAACCUGCACUAGAAUUUCUGACAGCUGUAAACUUUCUAGAUUGU
rnacentral:lncRNA from 1 species